AGAGCGAACGCUGGCGGCAGGCCUAAUACAUGCAAGUCGAACGGACCCUUCGGGGUUAGUGGCGGACGGGUGAGUAACACGUGGGAACGUGCCCUUUGGUUCGGAACAACUCAGGGAAACUUGAGCUAAUACCGAAUGUGCCCCCUCCUUUGAUUAGGGGGGUGGGAAAGAUUUAUCGCCAUUGGAGCGGCCCGCGUCUGAUUAGCUAGUUGGUGGGGUAAAGGCCCACCAAGGCUACGAUCAGUAGCUGGUCUGAGAGGAUGAUCAGCCACACUGGGACUGAGACACGGCCCAGACUCCUACGGGAGGCAGCAGUAGGGAAUCUUGCGCAAUGGGCAAAAGCCUGACGCAGCCAUGCCGCGUGAAUGAUGAAGGUCUUAGGAUUGUAAAAUUCUUUCAGCGGGACGAUAAUGACGGUACCCGCAGAAGAACGCCCGGCUAACUUCGUGCCAGCAGCCGGC
rnacentral:rRNA from 1 species